CGAACGCGUCGGACGUACCUCGCGAGAUCUCCGCAGGUUCCGCGGAGAUGCGCGUUACAGUUUUCGCCUUUCCCCUGCAGCUGGGGCGCCGUCGCGAGUCGUGCGUGUACGGAGACGAUACCCCACCAGGCGGCAUAGUCAGUUUGUCGCAUUCAGACCCGGCGAGCUAUAUAGGUCCCUAACUGUCUAGAAAAUUCUGUACCAUAUUGGCACCUGAAAAGUCAGGAGGAGGAGUCGUGAGGAACACUCCACGUAGCUCCUACCAAAACGCAUCGAUGCUGCCUCCUCUAUGAGGCUGCCUUCUCGAGGAUAACCAAACGGAUUUACUUGGAUUGCAACCGCAUCACCGGCGACAAUCUGGAUAAUUACCACAAAGCUGCCGGCUCAACGUCCGACGACAGAGUGUAUACCUGGCGCAGCGGCGGCCAAUGGGCUGCUCCAUUCACCGAGAACAGACUUACAAACAAUGCGGCAUCCUUACCGGUUAUGGACAUCCAGGGGUAUCGAGGGAUGUCAGGCAGGGGCUGGGUGGCAGCCGCCCCCGGUUGGGAGCAGCUGUUGAGCGGGUCUGCCGCUGCCGACGCCGCAGCCG